GAUGAACGCUGGUGGCGUGCCUAAUACAUGCAAGUCGAGCGAACGGACGAGAAGCUUGCUUCUCUGCUGUUAGCGGCGGACGGGUGAGUAACACGUGGAUAACCUACCUAUAAGACUGGGAUAACUUCGGGAAACCGUAGCUAAUACCGGAUAAUAUUUUGAACCGCAUGGUUCAAAAGUGAAAGACGGUCUUGCUGUCACUUAUAGAUGGAUCCGCGCUGCAUUAGCUAGUUGGUAAGGUAACGGCUUACCAAGGCAACGAUGCAUAGCCGACCUGAGAGGGUGAUCGGCCACACUGGAACUGAGACACGGUCCAGACUCCUACGAGAGGCAGCAGUAGGGAAUCUGCCGCAAUGGGCGAAAGCCUGACGGAGCAACGCCGCGUGAGUGAUGAAGGUCUUCGGAUCGUAAAACUCUGUUAUUAGGGAAGAACAUAUGUGUAAGUAACUGUGCACAUCUUGACGGUACAUAAUCAGAAAGCCACGGCUAACUACG
rnacentral:rRNA from 1 species